rnacentral:rRNA from 1 species
AUGGCCGACGACGAGGUGGUCGCCGCGUCCGCGGAGGAGUCGCUGACCACUCCGCUACUCGAGCCAGCCGCGAGCCCCGGCGACCCAUCGGUGGAGGUGAGUCUGUACCGGCGGGGCGCCGGCCCGCCCAAGGUCUUCCGGUCGGGCCUGAGGGGUCCUCGCCGCGACCGCCUCGACGUGCGCGGCAUCCAGGCAGAGCACGGGCUCCGCGCCCUCUUCGCCUUCAAGCCCGGGGUCUCCCGCCGCGGCCUCCGGAUCCGGCCAGACCCGGCGACCGGCCACUCCGCCGUGCCCUUCCGCGACGGCGCCGCCAUCGCCCUCGACGGCGAGCCCAAGGUGCAGGUGUCGUGGACCAAGCCUGUGUUGAUGAUCGCCGCCGGCCUGCUGGUGCCGGCGGUGAUGGCGGUGGUGGCUUUCAACGGGGUGCCUGAGUCGCUACUGUCGUCGAGCGUAGUCAACGCCCUCUUCUCGCCGUGGAUCCUCGCCAGCGCGGUCAUCGUCUUCGUCCGUCUCAGGAUGCGGCCACAAGCUCCUCCAUGGAGCCGAGCUACUGUAAUGAUGGAUUUCGCCUUACGCAUCCUUGUAGAGGAAGACCACAACCCAGACGUCCGGUGGAGCCUGCGAAACCUCACGCACAAAAUCAGAGCCUGUGAUGGGCUGUAUUGUGCCGAAUCUCGCAGUUUUUGCUGCCUCCUUGAGCUCUGCAAGCCUCAUCCUCCUGUAAGCACACCACAACAUCAAAAAAUUCGUGGACAUGUAUUUUUGGCUGCAUGGAUCAGAAUGAGACUUCUCCCAAGUGGAUCAAAAAUAACUGAAACAGACCAGAUUUCUACGGAAAUCACACGAAUUACCCCCAUCCUACUGUGCAAUUCGGGUCAAAUCAAUCACGAAAAGCACUAG